UGGGGAAUAUUGCACAAUGGAGGGAACUCUGAUGCAGCGACGCCGCGUGAACGAAGAAGGCUUUCGAGUCGUAAAGUUCUUUUAUAUGGGAAGAUAAUGACGGUACCAUAAGAAAAAGCCCCGGCUAAAUACGUGCCAGCAGCCGCGGUAAUACGUAUGGGGCGAGCGUUGUCCGGAAUUAUUGGGCGUAAAGGGUACGUAGGCGGUCUAUUAAGUCAGGUGUGAAAGCGUGAGGCUUAACCUCAUUAAGCACUUGAAACUGAUAGACUUGAGUGAAGGAGAGGAAAGUGGAAUUCCUAGUGUAGCGGUGAAAUGCGUAGAUAUUAGGAGGAAUACCGGUGGCGAAGGCGACUUUCUGGACUUUUACUGACGCUCAGGUACGAAAGCGUGGGGAGCAAACAGG
rnacentral:rRNA from 1 species